AUGAACGCUGGCGGCGUGCUUAACACAUGCAAGUCGCACGAAGCACUUUAACCUGAUUCUUCGGAUGAAGGUUUUUGUGACUGAGUGGCGGACGGGUGAGUAACGCGUGGGUAACCUGCCUCAUACAGGGGGAUAACAGUUAGAAAUGACUGCUAAUACCGCAUAAGACCACAGAGCCGCAUGGCUCGGUGGGAAAAACUCCGGUGGUAUGAGAUGGACCCGCGUCUGAUUAGGUAGUUGGUGGGGUAACGGCCUACCAAGCCAACGAUCAGUAGCCGACCUGAGAGGGUGACCGGCCACAUUGGGACUGAGACACGGCCCAAACUCCUACGGGAGGCAGCAGUGGGGAAUAUUGCACAAUGGGGGAAACCCUGAUGCAGCGACGCCGCGUGAGCGAAGAAGUAUUUCGGUAUGUAAAGCUCUAUCAGCAGGGAAGAAAAUGACGGUACCUGACUAAGAAGCACCGGCUAAAUACGUG
rnacentral:rRNA from 1 species